UACGUAGGGUGCGAGCGUUGUCCGGAUUUACUGGGCGUAAAGAGCGCGCAGGCGGUCGUUCAAGUCGCGUGUGAAAGCCCCCGGCUCAACUGGGGAGGGUCACGCGAUACUGAUCGACUCGAAGGCAGGAGAGGGUAGUGGAAUUCCCGGUGUAGUGGUGGAAUGCGUAGAUAUCGGGAGGAACACCAGUGGCGAAGGCGACUACCUGGCCUGUUCUUGACGCUGAGGCGCGAAAGCUAGGGGAGCAAACGGG
rnacentral:rRNA from 1 species